rnacentral:rRNA from 1 species
AUUGAACGCUGGCGGCAGGCCUAACACAUGCAAGUCGAGCGGGGUUUUCGGACCUAGCGGCGGACGGGUGAGUAAUGCGUAGGAAGCUGCCCGAUAGAGGGGGGAUACCAGUUGGAAACGACUGUUAAUACCGCAUAAUGUCUACGGACCAAAGUGUGGGACCUUUGGGCCACAUGCUAUCGGAUGCGCCUACGUGGGAU